rnacentral:rRNA from 1 species
GAUGAACGCUGGCGGCAGGCUUAACACAUGCAAGUCGAACGCAUCCUUCGGGGUGAGUGGCAGGCGGGUGAGUAACGCGUGGGAACGUGCCCUUCAGUUCGGGAUAACCCAGGGAAACUUGGGCUAAUACCGGAUACGUGCGAGAGCAGAAAGAUUUAUCGCUGAAGGAUCGGCCCGCGUCUGAUUAGCUAGGUGGGGGGGUAAUGGCUCACCAAGGCGAGGAUCAGUAGCUGGUCUGAGGGAAUGAUCAGCCACAUGGGCACUGGGACACGGGCCAAACUCCUACGGGAGGGAGCAGUGGGGAAUAUUGGACAAUGGGCGCAAGCCUGAUCCAGCCAUGCCGCGUGAGUGAUGAAGGCCUUAGGGUUGUAAAGCUCUGUCGUCCGGGACGAUAAUGACGGUACCGGAAGAAGAAGCCCCGGCUAACUUCGUGCCAGCCGCCGCGGUAA